rnacentral:rRNA from 1 species
CACAUGCAAGUCGAACGGUAACAUUUCUAGCUUGCUAGAAGAUGACGAGUGGCGGACGGGUGAGUAAUGCUUGGGAACUUGCCUUUGCGAGGGGGAUAACAGUUGGAAACGACUGCUAAUACCGCAUAAUGUUUACGGACCAAACGGGGCUUAGGCUCCGGCGCAAAGAGAGGCCCAAGUGAGAUUAGCUAGUUGGUAAGGUAAAGGCUUACCAAGGCAACGAUCUCUAGCUGUUCUGAGAGGAAGAUCAGCCACACUGGAACUGAGACACGGUCCAGACUCCUACGGGAGGCAGCAGUGGGGAAUAUUGCACAAUGGGGGAAACCCUGAUGCAGCCAUGCCGCGUGUGUGAAGAAGGCCUUCGGGUUGUAAAGCACUUUCAGUUGUGAGGAAAAGUUAGUAGUUAAUACCUGCUAGCCGUGACGUUAACAACAGAAGAAGCACCGGCUAACUCCGUGCCAGCAGCCGCGGUAAUACGGAGGGUGCGAGCGUUAAUCGGAAUUACUGGGCGUAAAGCGCACGCAGGCGGUUUGUUAAGCUAGAUGUGAAAGCCCCGGGCUCAACCUGGGAUAGUCAUUUAGAACUGGCAGACUAGAGUCUUGGAGAGGGGAGUGGAAUUCCAGGUGUAGCGGUGAAAUGCGUAGAUAUCUGGAGGAACAUCAGUGGCGAAGGCGACUCCCUGGCCAAAGACUGACGCUCAUGUGCGAAAGUGUGGGUAGCGAACAGGAUUAGAUACCCUGGUAGUCCACACCGUAAACGCUGUCUACUAGCUGUUUGUGACUUUAAGUCGUGAGUAGCGA